rnacentral:ncRNA from 1 species
CAUAGGUUUGGUCCCGGCCUUUCCGUUAGCUACAGGCAAGCUUACACAUGCAAGCAUCCGCCCCCCUGUGAAAAUGCCCUCCAAAACGCCUACGCGACCAAGAGGAGCAGGUAUCAAGCACGCCACUAGGGCUGCUCACGACGCCUUGCUUAGCCACGCCCCCACGGGAAACAGCAGUGACAAAUAUUAAGCAAUGAACGAAAGUUUGACUAAACUAUGCCUCUUAAGGGUUGGUAAACUUCGUGCCAGCCACCGCGGUCAUACGAUUAACCCCAGUUAACAGACGUACGGCGUAAAGCGUGUUUAAGGGAAUCCCGCAAAUAGAGCCAAACCCUAGCUACGCCGUAAAAAGCCCUAGCUACUGGAAGCCCCCCCACGAAAGUGGCUUUAAAAAUGCCCAAAGACACGACAGCUAAGGCUCAAACUGGGAUUAGAUACCCCACUAUGCUUAGCCCUAAACCUACAGAGUUCUACAUAACAAAAUUCUUCGCCAGAGUACUACGAGCCACCGCUUAAAACUCAAAGGACUUGGCGGUGCUUCACAUCCACCUAGAGGAGCCUGCUCUAUAAUCGAUAAACCUCGAUAAACCCCACCAACCCUUGCCACCCCAGCCUGUAUACCGCCAUCUUCAGCAAACCUUGAAAAGGAAGUGCAGUAAGCCCAACCGCAGUACGCAAAAACGUUAGGUCAAGGUGCAGCCCAUGGGUUGGGAAGUAGUGGGCUACAUUUCCUAUGCCCGGGACACCACACGAAAGUCCCCGUGAAACCGGUGACUAAAGGAGGAUUUAGCAGUAAACUGGGAAUAGAGUGCUCAGUUGAACAAGGCCAUGAAGCACGCACACACCGCCCGUCACCCUCCUCAAAUACCAACAACACACCCAGAUCCUCUCUACACGUGUUACACCUACUAGAGGAGACAAGUCGUAACAAGGUAAGCGUACUGGAAAGUGCGCUUGGAUUAUC